GUAUAGUCCACAGCUAUGCUCUGACGUGCUUCGGAUACUGAGUAUCUCGAGUGUGCACGAGAUCAAGAGAAUUUCCUCGCGUAGAGCUGAAAUUCGUAGAUAUUCGGAGGAACACCAGUGACGACGGCGGCUUACUGGCCUAUUACUGACGACGAGGUGAGAAAGCGUGGGGAGCAGACAGGAUUAGAUACCUUGCUAGUCCACGCCGUAAACGAUGAAUCUUAGCCGUCGCGCAGUAUACUGUUCGGUGGCGCAGCUAACGCAUUAAACAUUCCGCGUGGGGAGUACGGUCGCAAGAUUAAACUCAAAGGAAUGACGGGGGCCCGCACAAGCGGUGGAUCAUGUGGUUUAAUUCGAAGCAACGCGCAGAACCUUACCAGCUCUUGACAUUCGGGGUUUGGGCAGUGGAGACAUAGUCCUUCAGUUAGGCUGGCCCCAGAACAGGUGCUGCAUGGCUGUCGUCAGCUCGUGUCGUGAGAUGUUGGGUUAAGUCCCGCAACGAGCGCAACCCUCGCCCUUAGUUGCCAGCAUUUAGUUGGGCACUCUAAGGGGUAUUUGGGGGGUGAGCCGAGAGGAAGGUGGGGAUGACGUCAAGUCCUUAUGGCCCUUACGGGCUAGUGUACACGUGUGCUACAAUGGUGGUGACAGUGGGCAGCGAGACAGCGAUGUCGAGCUAAUCUCCAAAAGCCAUCUCAGUUCGGAUUGCACUCUGCAACUCCGAGUGCAUGAAGUGGAAUCGCUAGUAAUCGCAGAUCAGC
rnacentral:rRNA from 1 species